GUGCAGGCGUUAAUCGGAAUUACUGGGCGUAAAGCGUGCGCAGGCGGUUAUGCAAGACAGAGGUGAAAUCCCCGGGCUCAACCUGGGAACUGCCUUUGUGACUGCAUGGCUAGAGUACGGUAGAGGGGGAUGGAAUUCCGCGUGUAGCAGUGAAAUGCGUAGAUAUGCGGAGGAACACCGAUGGCGAAGGCAAUCCCCUGGACCUGUACUGACGCUCAUGCACGAAAGCGUGGGGAGCAAACAGGAUUAGAUACCCUGGUAGUCAAGGGCG
rnacentral:rRNA from 1 species